rnacentral:rRNA from 1 species
CCAUUAUUUCAAUUUUCUUUCACAAUACUAUUACACUAUAAUUAAAAUUAUUUUUUCUUUAUUAAAUACUAAAACAAUCCUUUAUAUAAUUAUUUUUAAUAAUUUAAAUUUAAAAAAAAAUGAAUUAAUAAAUAAAAUAUAAUCAACCUAUAUUGAUUUGCACAAAAAUCUUUUCAAUGUAAAUGAAAUACUUUACUUAAUAAGCUUUAAAUUGCAUUCUAGAAACACUUUCCAGUACAUCUACUAUGUUACGACUUAUCUUACCUUAAUAAUAAGAGUGACGGGCGAUGUGUACAUAUUUUAGAGCUAAAAUCAAAUUAUUAAUCUUUAUAAUUUUACUAUCAAAUCCACCUUCAAUAAACAUUUCAAAUUUAUAUUCAUAUAAAUAAUUUUAUUGUAACCCAUAUCUACUUAAACAUAAGCUACACCUUGAUCUGAUAUAUUUUCUAUUUUAAAAUUAUGAAAAUUAACCUUCUUAUAAAAUAUUCUAAUAACAACGGUAUAUAAACUGAUAACUAAUUUAAGUAAGGUCCAUCGUGGAUUAUCGAUUACAGAACAGGUUCCUCUGAAUAGACUAAAAUACCGCCGAAUUUUUUAAGUU